CAUUAGGUUACUUAAAGAAAGUGUUGAUCUCUUAAAUCAAAUUAUAGUAAUUAACGACUACUCCUGAUG
rnacentral:tRNA from 1 species